rnacentral:rRNA from 1 species
CGGACGGGUGAGUAACGCGUGGAUAACCUGCCGUAUACAGGGGGAUAACACUUAGAAAUAGGUGCUAAUACCGCAUAAGCGCACGGUUCCGCAUGGAACAGUGUGAAAAACUCCGGUGGUAUACGAUGGAUCCGCGUCUGAUUAGCCAGUUGGCGGGGUAACGGCCCACCAAGGCAACGAUCAGUAGCCGGCCUGAGAGGGUGAACGGCCACAUUGGGACUGAGACACGGCCCAGACUCCUACGGAAGGCAGCAG